rnacentral:rRNA from 1 species
CUGGCUCAGAUUGAACGCUGGCGGCAGGCUUAACACAUGCAAGUCGAGCGGGGAAAUGUAGCUUGCUACAUUACCUAGCGGCGGACGGGUGAGUAAUGCUUAGGAAUCUGCCUAUUAGUGGGGGGACAACAUCUCGAAAGGGAUGCUAAUACCGCAUACGUCCUACGGGAGAAAGCAGGGGACCUUCGGGCCUUGCGCUAAUAGAUGAGCCUAAGUCGGAUUAGCUAGUUGGUGGGUAAAGGCCUACCAAGGCGACGAUCUGUAGCGGGUCUGAGAGGAUGAUCCGCCACACUGGGACUGAGACACGGCCCAGACUCCUACGGGAGGCAGCAGUGGGGAAUAUUGGACAAUGGGGGGAACCCUGAUCCAGCCAUGCCGCGUGUGUGAAGAAAGGCCUUUUGGUUGUAAAGCACUUUAAGCGAGGAGGAGGCUACCGAGAUUAAUACUCUUGGAUAGUGGACGUUACUCGCAGAAUAAGCACCGGCUAACUCUGUGCCAGCCGCUGC